rnacentral:rRNA from 1 species
GACGAACGCUGGCGGCGUGCCUAAUACAUGCAAGUUGAGCGCUGAAGGUUGGUACUUGUACCAACUGGAUGAGCAGCGAACGGGUGAGUAACGCGUGGGGAAUCUGCCUUUGAGCGGGGGACAACAUUUGGAAACGAAUGCUAAUACCGCAUAAAAACUUUAAACACAAGUUUUAAGUUUGAAAGAUGCAAUUGCAUCACUCAAAGAUGAUCCCGCGUUGUAUUAGCUAGUUGGUGAGGUAAAGGCUCACCAAGGCGAUGAUACAUAGCCGACCUGAGAGGGUGAUCGGCCACAUUGGGACUGCGACACGGCCCCAACUCCUCCGGGAGGCAGCAGUAGGGAAUCUUCGGCAAUGGACGAAAGUCUGACCGAGCAACGCCGCGUGAGUGAAGAAGGUUUUCGGAUCGUAAAACUCUGUUGGUAGAGAAGAACGUUGGUGAGAGUGGAAAGCUCAUCAAGUGACGGUAACUACCCAGAAAGGGACGGCUAACUACGUG